rnacentral:lncRNA from 1 species
UAUUUUGCCUAAUUUUAUAUUAGGGUUAAGGUGCAAAUCCACCCCUAAUGUAGAGGUCCCUAUAGCGUUUAGCCCCCCAUUUUCGACCUUGGCGCAAACACCCCCCCAUAGUCCAAGAAAAGGGUGCAAUUAAACCUAAACCUCUAACACCGUUAACGUCCGUUAAACGUUUGGGUUUAAUUGCACCAUCUACUUCAGGGGUGGAUCUGCACUUUAACUUUUUUUUUUUUAAUUUUCGGCAAUCCACCUCCGGCAUCAGCUUAGCGCUCUUGUACUCAUCGGAUCCGACUUGCACCUUGUCAGCUCACACGCGCCCAAUCUCUUGGUUGUCGACUGUCUACCGCCCACAUGCAGCAGUGCCACCAGCUUCUUCAC